CAAACUUAAUAACCUUCCAGAGUUGGUAUCAAAUUCAGACGCUGACGCUCCUUGGAGAGGUUCUUUGCUGCAAGAGGAUGGAAAGGAUCACUGUGAUUUUGUUUUUCUCCUGCUGCUCUGUCUGGAAGCCAUGUGAGGAGGACAUCUGAGCAGCCCUGUGGAGAGGCCCCCAGCCAACAGCCAGCAUGAACUUGCUGGGCAUGUGAGUGCACCACCUUGAAAGUAGAGCCUCAACCCCUGGUCAAGCCAUCAGGCACUAGAGCUGACCAUGUCCCAG
rnacentral:lncRNA from 10 species